CAAAAGGCUAGGCAUGGAAUCACCAUAUGACCCACCUAUACUAUUCCUUAGUAUUUAUCUUGAAGAAUAAAGGUCAUCAUACUAUAGUGAUAUAUGCAUACCCAUAUUUAUAGCAGCACAAUCCAUAAUAGUCAAACUAUGGAACGAGCCUAGGUGUCCAUCAGAAUGGAUGAAUGGAAAAAGAAAAUGGAAUUUUAUUCAGUCAUAAAGUACACUGGAAUUAUGUCAUUUGAGGAAAAAUGGAUGGAACUAGAGACCAUUAUGUGAAGCAGAAUGAGUCAAACUCAGAAGGUUAAGGGGUGUAUGUUUUCUCUCAUAUGUGGAAGCAAGGGAGGAAAAGGAAAGAAAGAUGGGUGCAGAUUCCACAGAAACCCAGACUGUAUGAUAUUGGUGUAAGAGUAGACAAAUUCAUGUAUAGAAUAGAGGGCUGAAUAUGUAUUAUAUAACUAUAUUCAACCGAGUUUUGACAAAAAAAAACAAAGGCAAAUCAAUGAAGAAAGGACAGGUUUUUUUCAACAAGAGUAGCUGGAACAACUGGAUACUCACAUGCAUAAGGGUAAAUCUACAUGGAGACCUUACACCCAUCAGGAAGGAUGAUUCAACAUAGAUAGUAGAUCUAUACAUAAGGUACAAAACUAUAAACUCUGAGAUUCCAUAUAGAAUGGCUAAAACCAAACCACUGAUGAGGACAUGGUUUAAUGGGGACUGUUAAUCACUGUUGGUGUGUUUUAGUUAACUUUUAUGUCACUGUGACCAAAACACCUGACAAGAACAAAUUAGAAGAGGGAAAGUUUAUUUGGGGCUCAUAGUUUCAGAGGGCUUAGUCCACAGAGGGCCAGCUCCAUUACUUUGAACCCAGGCUGAGGCAGCACAUGAUGGGGGAAGAGUCCAGUGGAGGAAAGCUGCUCAGCUCAUGAAGGAGUCAGGAAGCAGACAGUGAGGGGAGAGAGAAGGAGCCUCAGGGAAGAUGCAUGCUACCAGAGCACAUCACCAGUGACCCUCCUCCUCCAGCCAGGCUCCACCUACCUACAGUUAUUACCCAGUCAGUCCAUUCAAACCUGGAUGGACUAAUUAGGUUCUACCUGUCAGUGUCUAAUCAUUCCACCUCUGAAUAUCCCUGCAUUAACUGGAGAUUUUGUAGGACACCUCCUAACCAAACCAUGACAUGGUGGGAGGAUAUAACAGUGAUGAGACUUUGAAAGACAUUUUAGUAGUCACAUCGACCAUGUGAUCCAGCACUUGUGCUCCCUGGUAAUUAUCCAAAUGAAUUGAAGACUUAGGUUCUCACAACAAUCUGCAAAUGUGUAUAUAUAGCAUUUUGAUUCAUCACUGAUAAAAACCAGAAGUCAGCAAGAAGUCUUUCAAUAGAUUAAUGUACAAAGAAAUGUUGGUAAAUCUACAAUACAAUCUUAUUUGGUGUUAAAGUGAAAUGAAUUAUGAAAGCAUGAAAAAACCAUGAAGGAUUCUUUGCAUAUUAAUAAGUGAAAGAAUUAAAAAAAUGGCUGCACAUUGUAGGAUUCCCAAUAUGUAACAUUUUGGAAAAUGCAACAUUAUGGUAAGACUGAAAUGACCAUUUGUUGCCAAGAGCUUGUAGGCUAGGAAAAGAUGAAUAGGCAGAGCACAGAGGAUUUUUAGGACAGCGAAUGUAGUGCAUGACAGUACACUAGUGGUUACAUGUUAGUGUACAUUAGUCAAAGCAUACAGAAUGUGCAAGACAAAGAGUCAACCCUAUGUAGUCUAUGAUCUGUGAGUGUCCACGUUGGUUUGACUCUAUCUAAUGAACCACCCUCCUGAAGCUUGCUGAUUAUGGGAGGAGCUUUGGGUGGAUGUGGGCAGGGUGUUUGUAGGAACUUUACAAUUAGGUUUGCUGUUAAGAAAAACUUCUUUAGAAGUUAAAUUUUGUUAAUUAAAAAGAAUGACAAUUAUGACAAAGCUGAGGUUUUUAUACUGUGAAUCUUGAGGGCUUCCUGCUGAUACCCUCCUGAGUAUUUGGACUGGGAUGAGAAUUCUG
rnacentral:lncRNA from 1 species